rnacentral:rRNA from 1 species
AUUGAACGCUGGCGGCAUGCUUUACACAUGCAAGUCGAACGGUAACAGGCCUUCGGGUGCUGACGAGUGGCGAACGGGUGAGUAAUGCAUCGGAACGUACCCAAAGGUGGGGGAUAACGCAGCGAAAGCUGUGCUAAUACCGCAUGUGAUCUGAGGAUGAAAGCGGGGGACCGAGCAACAAUGUUUGGCUCGCGCCUUUGGAGCGGCCGAUGUCGGAUUAGCUAGUUGGUGGGGUAAAGGCCUACCAAGGCGACGAUCCGUAGCUGGUCUGAGAGGACGACCAGCCACACUGGGACUGAGACACGGCCCAGACUCCUACGGGAGGCAGCAGUGGGGAAUUUUGGACAAUGGGCGCAAGCCUGAUCCAGCAAUGCCGCGUGCGGGAAGAAGGCCUUCGGGUUGUAAACCGCUUUUGGCAGGAACGAAACGGUGUCCGCUAAUACCGGGCGCUAAUGACGGUACCUGCAGAAUAAGCACCGGCUAACUACGUG